GCCUACUUGUAAUUUGGGUAUUGGGGAUUCACUUGUUAGGAAGCAGAAGCAAUUGCCAAGAUUGGGAACAAUGGAAUUGAGUACUUCUUUUGUAGAUUUGAGGUUUUCAGCAAAAUGUGUUAAGGGUAAUUACAAGAAUUUGAAGAAACAGACAAAGGGUAGGAAGAACCUUAGGAUUGUUAAUGAUUUAGGUGGACAGUAUGAAGAAAGUUUUAGUGACAUUAAAACA
rnacentral:misc_RNA from 1 species